UAUAAGUGCAGUUGUGGGUUUACGUGUCCAAUUUUGAUUGUCUGUCUUAUUUAAAAAUUUAUGAAAAAUAAAAAAAAUAUUAGUCAUAUAUAAAAUACUAUUCAUGUUUUAUCAUCUAAUAACAAUAAAAAUACUAAUCAUAAAAAAAUUUCAAAUAAGACAGACGGUCAAAUGUUGAAUAUAAACAGU
rfam:Oryza sativa Japonica Group DNA, chromosome 2, cultivar: Nipponbare, complete sequence.